rnacentral:rRNA from 1 species
CCUACGGGGGGCAGCAGUGAGGAAUAUUGGUCAAUGGACGAGAGUCUGAACCAGCCAAGUAGCGUGAAGGAUGACUGCCCUAUGGGUUGUAAACUUCUUUUAUAUGGGAAUAAAAUGUUCCACGUGUGGGAUUUUGUAUGUACCAUAUGAAUAAGGCUCGGCUAACUCCGUGCCAGCAGCCGCGGUAAUACGGAGGAUCCGAGCGUUAUCCGGAUUUAUUGGGUUUAAAGGGAGCGUAGGUGGAUUGGUAAGUCAGUUGUGAAAGUUUGCGGCUCAACCGUAAAACUGCAGUUGAAACUGGCAGUCUUGAGUACAGUAGAGGUGGGCGGAAUUCGUGGUGUAGCGGUGAAAUGCUUAGAUAUCACGAAGAACUCCGAUGGCGAAGGCAGUUCACUGGACUGCAACUGACACUGAGGCUCGAAAGUGUGGGUAUCAAACAGGAUUAGAUACCCCAGUAGUC